rnacentral:rRNA from 1 species
ACUCCUACGGGAGGCAGCAGUGGGAAUAUUGCACAAUGGGGAAGCCCAUCGAUGCAGCCAUGCCGCGUGUGUGAAGAAGGCCAAUUCGGGCUUGGUUAAAGACACUUUUCAGCGAGGAGGAAAGGGUGUGUGUUAAUACCAUACAUCUGUGACGUUACUCGCAGAAGAAGCACCGGCUAACUCCGUGCCAGCAGCCGCGGUAAUACGGAGGGUGCGAGCGUUAAUCGGAAUUACUGGGCGUAAAGCGUGCGCAGGCGGUUUGUUAAGCGAGAUGUGAAAGCCCCGGCUC